ensembl:lncRNA
AUCCGGGACUUUUUCGCGUUCUCGGCGUGAUGCGUACUUCGAAUUGGAACAGUACUUGGUCUCCGACUGAUGACGUAACACGAGUACACGAGAACGCAAGUACGCACAAGUACGCAUAUUGAUAAACGCCCUGGGAGUCCCUCUUCGCUGUGCCGGCCCACCUGCAGCUGAUUAUCUGACCAGCUGUUGGUAAUCAUCCCUCCCGGCUAGAAAGAGGUAUUUAACCUGGACUCGCGGCGACAGUCGACGUGGGAUUAUUACUCCUGACUGGAGAGUCGAGCGAAGAAGCGAGUUGGGGAGCACACACACUAAGGGAGCUACAGCACGGGACGCACGGGGACGAGCACUGUUGGCAGAUUGCACUGUGGAGUGAAUCGUUGGACUUGCCUGUCUAUUUCCACUGUAAAUAAAGUGCACUGUGGCAUUGCAGAGUCCUGCGUUUUGGGUCCUACUUUCCUCAUCCCCGCGGUCUGCGUGGCAGACCGUGACAAACACUGGCUGAUGAUGAAAUACAGUCAGCUGGCAUGGUGACACUGCCAGUAUUAACCUGCAGGGCUGGACUGGGACAAAAAAUCGGGCAUUUUGACUAGAGACUGGCCCACCAGGUAUUAAAGCCAUAAAGCCUUUGAAUGAAGACAAACGCUGUUGUGACAUUGAUGUACACUGUCUUGUUGGUAUAUGUAUGAUCUCUAUACAAUUUACGUCAGAUAAAAACUUUGUUUGCAAGAUUCAGAUAAUUAUUUAAUAAAAGCUAGAUAUUUUAAAUGAGAAUAAGAAAGAAAAGUAUAUCUUUGUGCCCCCCUUUCCCUGUUAAUAUCCUACCUGGCCCCCUGGCAUAACUUUGCUACACCCGCCCCUGCACAGUUACCAGCUGUCAGCUAUGUAGAAAAGGAUCCUGGUGUUAUUUGUCUCUCAGAAACAGUUCAUAACUUCCCUUCAACUCAUUCAUGUCACCUAAAAGGUAAACCUGUUUCUCCAUCACCUGUUCAGCUCUGUUGAUUCAGUAAGGACAUCUCCUGGUUUCAUCUUCAUGUUUCCCUCUCACCACAUAUCCAAACCGAUAUCAUGACCAGCAGUUUUUACAGCUGUGGCUCCAGCAAACAUCAGCUGAUACUAGAAAUUAUUAUUAAAUAAAUUCUAACAGUUGAUCAAGCUUAAACGUGCUGCUGUUGUUUAGCGCGACAUCCGCCGGUUUCCUCUUUCUGGCGCAAAGUGGGAGAUAAAAAAACAAGAGAGAAAAGCCGAUCAGCUCAUCAUUGAUCAGUUUCAUGAUUGAAGUAGGAACAGGAGAGGGAGGGGGGAGAAUGAGAGAAGAAGAGGCAGCUGUGCAGCAUAAAGAAUAAAUCCAGCUGUCUUUUUUUCAUUACGUGGACAAACUGCGUCUCUUCUCAGCUCAAUACUGGCUAUGGACAAAUCAAGUGUGUGAUCAUAUAUGAGUUGUAUAGUUUUAAUGUUUUAUUUGGAAACAGAAUGGUGUGUAUGUGUAAGUUUGGUGAUGGAGUUUUUAUUAUAAAUGAAUGAUGAAUUUUUAUGAAUUAUUAUGUCUAUUUUUUUUAUGUUUAAGGACAACAGAUGGAAAUUAGCCUUUGGCUAU